rnacentral:rRNA from 1 species
GACAUCCCGGAGACCCUUAGGAAACUAGGGGGUGCUUCCAUCUGGAAGAAUCUGGAGACAGGUGCUGCAUGGCUGUCGUCAGCUCGUGUCGUGAGAUGUUGGGUUAAGUCCCGCAACGAGCGCAACCCUUGCCUUUAGUUGCCAGCAGUUCGGCUGGGCACUCUAAAGGGACUGCCGGUGUUAAACCGGAGGAAGGUGGGGAUGACGUCAAGUCCUCAUGGCCUUUAUGACCAGGGCUACACACGUACUACAAUGGCCGAUACAAAGGGCAGCGACACUGCGAGGUGAAGCCAAUCCCGUAAAAUCGGUCUCAGUCCGGAUUGGAGUCUGCAACUCGACUCCAUGAAGUUGGAAUCGCUAGUAAUCGUGGAUCAGCAUGCCACGGUGAAUACGUUCCCGGGCCUU